UACGAAGGGGGCUAGCGUUGCUCGGAAUCACUGGGCGUAAAGCGCACGUAGGCGGCUUCUUAAGUUAGAGGUGAAAGCCCGGGGCUCAACUCCGGAAUUGCCUUUAAGACUGCAUCGCUAGAAUCCGGGAGAGGUGAGUGGAAUUCCGAGUGUAGAGGUGAAAUUCGUAGAUAUUCGGAAGAACACCAGUGGCGAAGGCGGCUCACUGGACCGGUAUUGACGCUGAGGUGCGAAAGCGUGGGGAGCAAACAGG
rnacentral:rRNA from 1 species